CCUAAAAAAUUCCUUAGUGGACCCUGAAUCCAAUGUUCCAUAUGCAAUUUCUGUUUGUUUUGAAAGAUCCUCUGCACUUUCAAUUGGUGAGACCAUCCUUUCGACCGUAAGGAAAGCAGCUAAGUUAGCCGUGUAGGAUGAAAUUAUGAUCAAGGUAAAGAACCACCACACACCUCCAACAAUUCGACCAGAGAGGGAUCUAAUAACAAGUAUAAAAUUUGUGUUUUUAAAGUAAUUAUCAUUUCACAAAAUGUCAUGGUGUUUCAAUGCU